rnacentral:lncRNA from 1 species
AAAAGUUUGUACCGCGCACCCGCGGUGUGUGUGUGUGUGUGUGUGUGUGUGUGUGUGUGUGUGCCUCCCCCCCCUCCGUACGGCGGGGCUGCACCGCCUGGGGAGGGGGACGGGGACACCGGGGGGGGCCGGCUGCCGGCUCGGCUCGGCUCGGCCUGGCCUCCCCUCCCCUCCGUGCCCCCGGCCCCGCCGCCAGGCCGCUGCCCGCCCCGGUUGCGGAGGGCNNNNNNNNNNCCGGUCAUUGUGUGCAGGAGGCUGCAGCCGCCCCCCCGCAGCCGCCGGUGGCACGGCCCCGCCGCUUUGUAACCCGCCGCUUUGUGCCUCCGAGCCCCCCCACACACUCACCUUUUCCCUGCGGGCCGGGGCCGCCUCAGCGCGGGCGGCGGGGCCGCUCCAUGGGGCGGCGGGGGCAGAGCCGGGGGCAGAGCCCUUGGCGCUGCCCGAGGCCGGGGCUGAGGCCGGGAGCGGGGCCGGGCGCGGUGCAGUGAGCGGGGCUGCCACUGGGGUCAGGGAGCAGGCACCAGGAAACACGGCGGCCACGGAGCGCCACUCGCACGCACACCACACACACACACACGGCACGGCUCCUCCCGCCGCCUUGCACUUCACCCCCCCGGGCAGGGAGGGAGGGAGGGAGGAAUCGCUGCUGCAUUUCAUUGCCCAAGUGCGGCACAGCCUCCCCCCGCCCAGCCCGGCCGCACAGGCCGCCCCGAGCAGCGGCCGGGCCGGGGGCAGGGCGCGGAGCCGCAGCCCCGGGGCUCGACCCCAGCCCCAAGCCCGGCUGAGGGGGGCCGGGGGGCGAUGUAGGGGUGAGGGGGGGCGGCCCCACAGCCCUCCCGAGGGGCUCCGGGCGGGCAGCGCCUCCCCGCAGCCGGCUCCUGCGGUGGCUGAGCCAGCCUCGGCCGCCGGGAGGGAAAAAGCAGCGCACAGCAGCGGUGCCCUUUGGGAUGAGGAUACUCCAACGCCCUGGGGAUAUGCUCAGCCAGGGAAUGCCCUAAGCUAAAAAAGCAGCACCUCAGAAGGAAGCACCAUCACACCACCUCCUCUUCAAGCUAGGUCUUCCCCACAAAGAGAGAAGGUCGCUAUCCUGUGUUCCUGUCUCAGCCCAGCAAGAGCCACAGACAGAUUCACCACAUCCAAGGAAGGUGCGGUAGAACUCGCAGAAUCCCCAGCUGCAUCCAACCCCUUGUUUGAGUUUGAAUUCAGUGCUAGCUCUCAGCCUGAUUUGUGGUGGGUCGUUGAUUUUUAUUCGGUCACAAGUAUCCUGGGACACGUUUUCUGACCUUGCUGUGUAUUCACACUGAAAAUACAAUUGAUGCUGUUCCUAGGUUAUGAAUCAUGUAGUUGCAUGAUGUGGGUCGCAAUGCUUCCUGCAAUCUAUCUUAUUUAAUACUGAAAGAAAUAGAUAUGAAUACCAGUUUACCUGUUCUCCUAGGAAACAAUGCUGAGGAGACCAAUUUCCCUCAUCUUUAUCCCCAAAGAACAACAAAGACAGCAAAAAAGGGUUAGCCCUGUGGAGUAAAAGGUGUCCCAAUGUCAUUGUUGCAUGCAAAGAUCAGAUAAGCACCUGGUUUGUUCUGUCUGUGAAGACAGCUUUAUCCAAAUAAAGCAUAGUGCAUUUUAUCAUUCUGUAAUGGAAAAGACCUGUCACUCUUUGAAUAUCAUCAUAUGGUCGGUGGCCAGCAGAUAAUGGACUGUUAAGUGUCAAGGUGACUGGCUUUGAAUGUGCACAAAACUAAAAAUUAUAGACCUGUCAUUCCAUAGGCAGGCCACAAUUAGCUGUCUAUGCAACUUGAAAUUUCCAUUUUGCCAGCUGAAUAAUCAAUUGGCUACACUUUCUCAAUAUAGAUGCAUUUUUAGUUUUUUUGCACUCAGGAUUUUAUCUUUUUUAUAAGGUUUUUCAAACAACUGUGCAGUGCACUUAAGCAGAUGGGGUUACAAGUAAGCCACACAGUUGUUGUCUCCCCAACACAUACACAAAGACAGUCACCAGUAUUUUAUAAUCAACACUUUUUACAUUAAUUUCCUCUAGCCAUACUCUUGCCUAUAAUGUUUUUGUCAAGGAUAUGGCGCUAUGGAACACAAGCUACAGAAAAUUCACAGCUUCAGAGUUCACAGCUGUUUGUUUUGAUUACCAAGGUAAUAAUUUUUCUACAUUUUGCCAUCAGUCUACCCUCACAUAGUUAACAUAUGAGAUGUGAGCUAAUGGUACAAUAUGAGUUAGAAAUAAAAUGUUUCCAAUUGUCACCUUCUAAAAGGAAAUGCACUUUUUUCUUGGAGACAUUUUUCUCUACAUAGCUUACUAAAAACGUUUUAAGGCGGUUUGGGCAGGGGCCUUAUUUUACGCUGCUAAAGCUGCCUAAGCUACCACAGUGAUACAUCAGUGAUGACUCUUACGCAAGCUUAUUUGAAAAGAAACAAACCACACAAUCAAAAAAGUUCAGCAUCCUGUGAUGUAUAUCAAUGUACGUACAAUAACUCUUUUCAUCCUGGACAACUAGCAGUAAUUUGCUUUCUUUCAGGCUGCCUGCAUUUGUGGAAGGAACUGCGUAACAUGGCGCCUGACUGUGAGAACGGGAUUACAAAAUGGCGGCCUUGGGAAGUUUGUGGCUUAUAAACAGUACCAAGCAAAUGCUGCCUCAGUGUAGUUCUAAUAUUAAAAAAGUGCCUUAAAGCUAUACCUGCAGCUUCACAUAGUGUUACUGCAACUCUCCAUUCCCCCCCCCCCCCCUUUUUUUUUUUUUUUAAAUAAACUCAGCCUGAUUUGUACCACAUGAUGGGCAGAAUUCCUACCACCUGAUGUGGAAACGCUACACACAGGUUCUGUCCAAAGCCAUUUGCAAUAAAGGAAAGACAUCUGGGAUCUUCACCGGACUUUGAAUCAGGCUGCAAUAUGUAGUCUUGUAUCUUUACAGUACUUCACACAUUGACAGAGCCCUCGUAUGCAGUUCUGGAAGGUACACGGGGAUACUUUGGUAAUCUAAGGAGGGCUGUUGAGCAUCAAAGUCUAUAACCGGGUCUUAGUUACAUGACAUAUGGGCUUUUAGUGAUGACUGGCUCGAGGGAUAAUGGCUCGAGGAGCUCCUUGUCUUCCCAGCCUGCUCUCCUAGACCCAUGUUCAUUUCCUCUCCCAUCGCAUAAUUUGCUUUUCCCUCAUUUGUUCUACUUAGGUGCUCCCCCCAUCCUUUUAGGAUGAAGACUGCUAAGAGCAGUUAUUUGAACAGUCUAAUUUACAGGAAGUCACAGAAGGGUCUGUAUGCAGAAACCUGAGGAUGGGGCAAAUUACAGCAAGAGAACAAGAGGCUGGAGGGAGUGGAGGGGAAUGUUCUUAAAUUCAUAUUGCAGAACUACAUUGUUAGCCUGGAUUUCUUCCCUGCUUUUCCUCCUCUUUCCCUCUAGAAAUAGAAGGUUAGGCCAUUAUAGAAUUCAAUUGGUUCCAGAUGGACCCUUAACCCAGCUCCUCUAACAAAAACAUUUUCCUGUUAAACAACCUGUGUCACAUGGAAUAGAUGAAAUUCAUCUUUAGUAUACCGCCACUGAAGCCUGGAAAGACAAACCUGAAGUAUGAGUAUCCCUAUCACAAAUGUAAAAGGGUAAUGCAGCAAUGAUUUAUCUCACAAUUAGGCAGCAGUAAUUAUAAAAGUAAUGCUGUACUAGACAUACUAUAAGUUUCUAAGAAAAUUUAUAAAUAAUUAUACCUGUCUUUUUUAAAGGCUUCUACCUUCUUUAUAAAAAUCAAAAUAUAACAUUUGACAGUUUGACUCCUAAAUCAUCUCUUUCAUAGGCCAUCACUAUGUUUUACUUCUAUUUUUUAAUACAUGAGUGAGAGGGCC